rnacentral:rRNA from 1 species
CCUACGGGGGGCAGCAGUGGGGGAUAUUGCACAAUGGGGGAAACCCUGAUGCAGCGACGCCGCGUGGGCGAAGAAGUAUUUAGGUAUGUAAAGCCCUAUCAGCAGGGAAGAAGAAAUGAGGGUACCUGAGUAAGAAGCACCGGCUAAAUACGUGCCAGCAGCCGCGGUAAUACGUAUGGUGCAAGCGUUAUCCGGAUUUACUGGGUGUAAAGGGAGCGCAGGCGGCACGGCAAGCCUGAUGUGAAAGCCCGCGGCCCAACCGCGGGACUGCAGUGGGAACUACCGGGCUGGAGUGCAGGAGAGGUAGGCGGAAUUCCUAGUGUAGCGGUGAAAUGCGUAGAUAUUAGGAGGAACACCAGUGGCGAAGGCAGCCUACUGGACGGUGACUGACGCUGAGGCUCGAAAGCGUGGGGAGCAAACAGGAUUAGAUACCCGGGUAGUC